rnacentral:rRNA from 1 species
CUACGGGAGGCAGCAGUGAGGAAUAUUGGACAAUGGGCGGGAGCCUGAUCCAGCCAUGCCGCGGGCAGGAUGACUGCCCUAUGGGCUGAAAACUGCUUUUGUACAGGAAGAAACCAUCCCUCGUGAGGGAGCUUGACGGUACUGUAAGAAUAAGGCUCGUCUAACUCCGCGCCAGCAGCCGCGGUAAUACGGAGGAUCCAAGCUUUAUCCGGACUCAUUGGGUUUAAAGGGUCCGUAGGUGGAUGAUUAACUCAGAGGUGAAAUCCUGCAGCUCAACUGUAGAAUUGCCUUUGAUACUGGUUGUCUUGAAUUAUUGUGAAGUAGUUAGCAUAUGUGGUGUAGCGGUGAAAUGCAUAUAUAUCACAUAGCAUCCCGAUUGCGAAGGCAGAUUACUAACAAUACAUUGACACUGAUGGACGAAAGCGUGGCGGAGCGAACAGGAUUAUGAUACCUUGGUAGUCCACGCCGUAACAGAGUGAUACUAUGCUGUUCGGAUUUAUCUGAGUGGCUAAGCGA